GUGCCAGCAGCCGCGGUAAUACAGAGGUCUCGAGCGUUGAUCGGAAUUAUUGGGCUUAAAGGGUGCGUAGGCGGUCCUGUCAGUGCCUUGUGAAAUCCCAUGGCUCAACCAUGGAAUUGCUCGGUAGACCACAGGACUUGAGGUCGGUAGGGGUCGCUGGAACUCUAGGUGGAGCGGUGAAAUGCGUAGAUAUCUAGAGGAACGCCAAAGGUGAAGACAGGCGACUGGGCCGAUUCUGACGCUGAGGCACGAAAGCGUGGGUAGCGAACGGGAUUAGAUACCCCGGUAGUCC
rnacentral:rRNA from 1 species